CUUAUACAAGUAGUUCCCAAUUAAUUUUGCACAUCUGCAACAUAUCAUAAUCCAGCAGAUACAACAAUGAAUUAGUGCAGUGGUUACUUCGAAAAAUUUGGUUCAGUGUAGUUUAUGAUUUUGCCAAACUGAUCAAACAGUGUUAGGCUAAUGAGAAUAAGUUCAGCACAUUGAUUGAAACAAAGCUUCUUAAAAUCAGAUUUUAAUCAGCUAUACAGAGUUCAGUUCAGUGGUAUUUGGAUUUGUCAGAAUGUUGCUGCACUGCUGCAGUCCUUGAAGAUUAUCCUUUUGUUCAGCUUCACAAUUGCCUGAAUCAACUUAAUCAUCAAAUAGAAGAGGGUUAGAUGCAGUGACAGUAACCAAUAUAAUAAGAAUUGUAGCAGCUUAAAACUGAUCACUCAUUUUCUCAACAAAGGUAACUUGGCUUUUAGGUGCAGCCACUCAAAUCUCACUUCUUGGACUGUUUCAGG
rnacentral:lncRNA from 1 species